AAACUCUUUAAAACAGUCCUGUGAGACUGCUAAGAGCAGAGAAAACCUUGGUUUAAUUAAACUUAGGUUAAGGUGUGUCGUUUCGACUUACCUCUGCAGUCCUCUUAGCCUAACAGGCAAAGAGGGCUUUUUUU
rfam:Bacillus sp. TS-2 DNA, contig: BspTS2nb21.